UCUGGGAACCUCUACUUUCUGCUCACUGAGCUGGGUUGGUUUAGAUUCCACUUAGAAGUGAGUCAGGCAGUACCCAACUUUCCAUCUCUGGCUUAUUUCCCUUAGCUUAGUAUCCUUCAGGUUCACUCAUGCUGUUGACAAUGGCAUUUCCUUCCUUGUAAACGCUGAGCGCGUGUGUGCAUCGGGUGUGCAUCUCUAUCACACUGCCUUUCAACCACAGAGGAACCCUUGUGUGGAUUCCUUACCUGGUCUAUAGUGCACAGCGCUGCGGUGAAUGUGGGAGUGUAGACGUCCCUUUAAGACCCUGAUUUCAUUUCUGGAUGCAGACCCAGAAGCGGGAUUGCUGGAUCUCACAGGAGAUCUAUUUUUAAUCUUUUUGAGGAGUCCUCCAUACUGGUUUCCUUCGUGCCCACACUAAAUUGCGUCCCCAUCUGUAGUAUGCAAGGGCUCCCUUUUUUCCCCCCUCCUCACUAACAGCUAUUCUUUGUCUUUCUGAUGGCAGCCAUCCGAACAGGUGCUGUGGCCUGAGUCCGUCCCCUGAAUCUGUAAGCUGGAAUUGUGCCCCUCAAGGUGAACGUCUUCGGAGGUGGAGCUGCUGGGAGGUGACUAGAUCAGGAGGGUGAAGCCUCGUGAUUAAAAUCAUCGACCUCUUCAGAGCCCAGAGACCUCGGUGGCGAGGAGCCUUUCUGACCCAGAAAACAGACCCCUCCUAGAGUCUGAGUUUGCUACACCUUGACCUUCAGCUGCUGGCUUCCAGAACUGUGAGAAAUAAAUUUCAAAUAUUUAUAAACCA